UGUUGCUGCACAGGCAGAAGCUGGCCCUGGGCUGGGCCACCUACCAGCAAUCCAUCCAGGAGAUGUGCUGGGCAAGGCAGCGUGAUGCUCAGCAGAACAGGAGCAUGAUCCUGGGCUUAUCUGUUUUGGCAGAAGACAGAGACCGGGGACGGUGAAGAGAAGGUGAAUGACACAGGAAGGAUCCACAAAGGCCCUGUAACCAUCUGCCCAUCAGUGGGGAGAAGCAGGACAGAGAAAAACAAUUAUCUUCCAGAAAAGGAACUGCUGGGUAUCUGAGCACAAAGACAGCCACAGCAUCUUCUUGCAGAGGCUGAACUGGUCAUCUCAAAUCUCUGCUGCAGGGCUGUCCUCUGAGAAAGUGAUUGUGAUGGACACAGCCCAGUGAGUGGUGCUACAGGUGGCCAUGGACCUUAGGAAAGUCACGUGCAUGGCUGCAUUUCCCUGCAAGAAGAGAAGUGCUGGGGGAUUUAGCAAAACGACAUCUGGCAAGGCCAAGCUCCAAACAGGUACAAGGGUCCAGUUAUUCUGCAAAGCUGCCCCCUCUCCCAGUUCUGGCAUGGGACACUGCUGAUCACAGCCUGUGCAGUGUUUGGUUGGUAUAGGCUAUUUCCACUGUAGCCAAGUGUAGUGGACUAGUGGCUGCAGAAUUUGGAGGGUAGAAAUAAGGAAAAUGCCUUUAACAAAAAUAGGGAAAAAAUACUUGCUUGUAUGAGAGGCUCCGGAGGAGACAAAGUUUGGUUUCUUUGGGGAACGAGACCAUGAGAAUAGAGAAGUUCUUAAUGGGACGUGUACUUUCGCACCAUCUAAAAUUAACCCCAUAGCCUCAUCAAUAUCUUCUCUUUUGAAAAGACAUCAUUAUCCUGCCUCCCCAUGCUGGAGACAGGCUCCUCAAGCUGAUUUUGACAUUGCUGUGCUACAACCGUUUGUUACACUGACAAGGGCUGUGUCUAGAUGAAUGCUUGGGGCACAUAUACAAGGUAAUUUCAAGGCAUCUUCACUAGGAAAGACACAUUGCUAAAUGCUAAUCAAAAUGGGCAGCCAUGGUGGAAACAAAUGCCUGAUUCAGAAUAUCUGGUUGUGAUACACCCCGUCAGGCACACUAAUGAGGAUAUUCAAUCAGGCAGACAGAUGCUGGGUUUGCUAACCUGGUCCUUAACCAUGUGCCAGGGAGAAGGAAGGAAGCUGCUGAUUUUGAAGACAAAUGUCCUUCCUGGGUAUUCUGGCAGUAUGCUUGUUCAGGCACUUUCCAGCUUUGGAGACCAGACUUGGAGAUAGGGCUCUUAAAACCUGCACUCACAUGUUGCAGCCCACAUGCCCAGGAUCCAGCCUGUUGCAUCCCCAUCUCCUGCCAUUUCUCUUCCCAAAAUUUUCUCUAGCCCUCAUUGCCCCUUCCCAAUAUUGGCCUGUUAUCUGACAUGCAGUGCUUGCUGUUAAUGCUUUUUUUCGCCCCCCAACUCCCUGCUGUGAAAAUUAAUGGGGGACAUCUGAGCUGCCUGCUAAUACUUCCAGAUGACAGAAGGGAGCAGCCGCAGAGUCAGCCUCCCUAUUUCCCUGGUGCCUCCAGUGAUGCUGCUGUUUUUCGGUGGAUGGAGCUUCUUCAUGUGAGUGACAUAGGCUUAACAUGGAAGACUGCUGGGGUGAAAAAGAGCAUGGAAGAACAGACUGAAUGCUGAACUUACUUGGUGCAUACUUUAUGGGAGAAUUCAUUCUAAAAUGAUCAGAAGUCAAUCCAAUGAUGACUAUUUAUCUACUUUGAGGCUUUCUAGAUCUCUCUGCAAAUUAUCUCAUUGGACAUUAGAGGUGUAAAACCUCCUUGCUGAAUAGUUUAAUGAAUUACACAGUGCUGAAAGACAGGCUAAAACAUGUCUGUGGCCAUGCUGGUCCCCACUACAGAACACCCACUUCACCGAAGAGUGAUCGAACCCUCAAAUGUGUUGGAUGCUGUCUGAAGCUUGCAUGGGAACAGGCAGAAUUCCCACUGCAAUAACUUCCAUGGAAGAGCACGGUUAAGAAGAACUAGUGGUUUAUGACAGAACGGGCAUAAAUUUUCAGAGGUAUUUGUACAAAUGUAAUUAGAAGCUGAAUUUAGCCCAACAGGGUCAAAACAUUGGUGCUUGGGAUCUCAUUAGCAUAGUGUGAAAUUUGUAAAAGAAAAGCACCUGCAGGAACACCGCUUGGACACCUGCACUGCUCUGCAAACAGCAUUGCUUGCUGAACACCAGCAUUUCUUGGAAGCCUGCAAGGACAUUCAAGGGCUGAUCCUUAGCCCCAUCACAGAGCAAUUGACUUUUCCUUCUGUUUUGAAAAAAAUUCUUCCCAUGGCUACCACCCAGCCCGCAAUGAUGCAAUAAAUAAUUCAGCAUGUGCUUAACAUUAAUCCUUAUAAAUAGUCCCACUACCCUGUUAGGUGCUUAUGUUAGAGCAGAACAGCUCUGAACACAUCUGUAGUCACACCACUUCGGUGGGCUGAAAAGCAGAGUUCCCAUGGAUCACCGUGGAGCAGUGAUUCCCUGAAGAGGACUCCAUCAGUGCAGCAUCUCUGAUCUCUUCAUCACAAGACAACUAACCAUGUGCUUAAAGCGAUUGUGUGUUUACGAGUUUUGUUGGAACAGGUUUUUCAUGUAAUGUUUUAUAAUAUAGCGGUGAUGGAGAGGGUGAGAAAUGCCCUUCUUCAGAGGGGGCUGAAGGAGCAAGACUUAAAGAUCAAAACCACCAUCUGCUGCAGCCAGAUCUCCUCUGGUAAGUCCUGCCCAUGGCUCAGCCACCAACCUGAGCAGAAAUCAUAAGCAGAAGGAAAGAAUCUGUCAAUUAACAUAUUUCACCAAACUAUGAUUUUUGUCAAGGGAUGAUGAUUAAACAAAGUUUUGGGAGUAGUAUAGUUUUAAUGAAACUUUCAUGGGCUAAGGGCAGAUUUGAAAAGAGAUAGAGAGAAAGAGAGAGAAGCGAGAAAGGCUUAUUGUGAAGUAACCGAUAGCUUGGCAGUUGAGAACAAAAGCAACUGCCGACCACUCCUCCCGGUUUUCCUAAAAUCAAGUAUUUUGCUUUCCAACCAGGCUUGCCUGGCCUCAUGCCUGUUUCCGUGUUGUUUCUGUGUGGCAGCUCAGGUUCUGUUAGUGUUUGGGACCACGUCUGCUGGGCUGAAGUGUGGGACGCUACCUUCAUAGAAACUCAUAAGCACUGAAGUGGUCUUCACUGCCUUUAUUUGAUCGUGCUUAAAUGAAGAGAGGUUCUUUGGCUUGGUUAAAAACUACAUGAAUCAUCCAGUAGGAAAUGAAAGAGAAUGUAUUACUGAGAUGUAAUGAUUCCAUUUAUGGUAUACAGAUCUCCCCGAUGCUGCCACAAGAUAAAAAUGAAUUUGCAGUUGUAAACGACUACAUGAUGAUGACAAGUCCUCUACAUGCUUGGCCUGCGCUCAGCUCAGGGGCAGGUACCAUAUGCUUGCCUCAGUUCUCCCUCUUUUGGAAGAAAACAGGCAUGCCUGCUCUUGGGCUUGGCACUCCUGCACACUGCAUGGUCAGCUGGCACAUUUCUUGCUGGAUUUGCCUCCAGCAGAUAUAAGCCACAUUGGUAAAGCUGUUGGAAUUUUCCACUGUUUUUUUUUUUUAAAUGGAAAGAACAUAUUGUGUAAUACUAAUGCUUUGAUUUUGCCCAUAUUUUUCAGUUCUCCUUUAGUGAGAUCAAAAUGAAAUGUUUCAACCAAAGGUUGAGCUGACCCCAAUGUUUUACUUUCCUCUUUAGCUUCUCAGUCACUGGACCUUGGGAAAGUUGUCCUGUGCGUGGCCUGAGCCUUCCCUUUACCUUGCAGGUCAUACUGGUGCAGAGGACACAUCUCAGGUACUUGGGGACCACAUGGUUUUUGUAAUACCUAAGCACUGUCACACUCCCAGUGAAUGGUGGUUCCAUCCAGCCAGGUCUGUCCUCCUAAGGAGGAGACAAUCUUACGUGGAACUAAGCCUAUAUGAAACAUCUCCUUUUUUUUCUUUUAACAUUGUCAAAUGGAAAUGUGCUAUAAGAUUUGCAAAUUUAAUUCUCAUCCUUCCGUGGCCAGCUGGAGACAUACAGCUGUAUAUAUCAGCAGUAAAAUGAGAUGCCAAAGCAACAGAUUUUAUUUCUCCAUAGGCUGCAUAUCUGGAGAAGAUAUUCCCACAAAUGAUACAUGGCUCCUGGCUGGUUUGCUGAUAAUGAGACAGUUAAUUAAAUAGGUCAGCAGGGCAAACAGUCACAUCAGAAAGCUCCUGCUCUAAUCAACCUGUGAGACUCUUCCAGCCUGGCUAUGCCAGCUGCUGGCGCUUUCAAUCUCAGUUCACAGUACAAAAUGUCACUGUAUUUACCCCUGGAAUGUGCAUAUAAAAGACAUAAAUAAAUAUGA